UACGUAGGGGGCGAGCGUUGUCCGGAUUUAUUGGGCGUAAAGGGUGCGUAGGCGGUUGUUUAAGUUUGGUGUGAAAUCUCCCGGCUCAACUGGGAGGGUGCGCCGAAUACUGAAUGACUAGAGUGCGGGAGAGGAAAGUGGAAUUCCUGGUGUAGCGGUGAAAUGCGUAGAUAUCAGGAGGAACACCGGUGGUGUAGACGGCUUUCUGGACCGUAACUGACGCUGAAACACGAAAGCGUGGGUAGCAAACAGG
rnacentral:rRNA from 1 species